UUGGUAUCCUCGCAGCCUGGCACAAGGUGUUGCCAUUCUGCUGGAGUUAAAGAAAAGAUGGCUGUCACAGGAUUUCUCCAUCAUCUGGAUUAGAGACAACCACGUGAGAUGAGCCUGACCAGGAGACAACAGAUCUCCAAGGAAACAUCAUGCUGACUGGACUUGGUAAUACAGUCACACAGACACACACACCCCAGAUGGC